AUGUGGUUAAGUUACUAAGGGCACACGGUGGAUGCCUUGGCGCUAGGAGCCGAAGAAGGACGCAGCGAACUGCGAUAAGCCUCGGGGAGCGGUAAGCACGC
rnacentral:rRNA from 1 species